rnacentral:snRNA from 1 species
GGGUGUGAGGGCGAACUGGCUGCGACAUCUGUCACCCCACUGAUCACCAGGGUUGAUUCGGCUGAUCUGGCUGGCUAGGCUGGCUAGGCGGGUGUCCCCUUCCUCCCUCACCGCUCCAUGUGCAUCCCUCCUAAAGCUGCGAGUUCGGUCGAAGAGGACGGCCUUCCCCGAAUAGAGACAGACCGGUCUUAGGUCGAGGGUAUACAAGUAGCUGAGCACCCCUGCUAGAACCUCCAAACAAGCUCUCAAGGAAUCUAGCCUUUGAGGAGCUGCCUUCCUGUUUAGGAGGAGGGCUGGGCCACACCCACUCUCAGU